AUUGAACGCUGGCGGCAGGCCUAACACAUGCAAGUCAAGCGGUCCGCUAGGGAGCUUGCUCCUGGGUGACGAGCGGCGGACGGGUGAGUAAUGUCUGGGAAACUGCCUGAUGGAGGGGGAUAACUACUGGAAACGGUAGCUAAUACCGCAUAACGUCGCAAGACCAAAGAGGGGGACCUUCGGGCCUCUUGCCAUCAGAUGUGCCCAGAUGGGAUUAGCUAGUAGGUGGGGUAACGGCUCACCUAGGCGACGAUCCCUAGCUGGACUGAGAGGAUGUACAGCCACACUGGAACUGAGACACGGUCCAGACUCCUACGGGAGGCAGCAGUGGGGAAUAUUGCACAAUGGGCGCAAGCCUGAUGCAGCCAUGCCGCGUGUAUGAAGAAGGCCUUCGGGUUGUAAAGUACUUUCAGCGGGGAGGAAGGCGAUAAGGUUAAUAACCUUGUCGAUUGACGUAACCCGCAGAAGAAGCACCGGCUAACUCCGUGCCAGCCGCCGCCGUAA
rnacentral:rRNA from 1 species